rnacentral:misc_RNA from 1 species
UCAUUUUGAAAUUUUCUCCCUGAUAUCUACAACACUAUCAUCACCGUACCACAAACAUUCUCAGAAUGGGUAAGCCCAUAACUCGAUCCCACUCUAGUUCUCUAGUCGAACCCUCUUCCACUCUACAAUCCGCCGCCGCCGCCAAUACUUCUUUAAACCCCUCUUCUUCUUCCUCCUCCAAAAUCCCAUAUCGGCCCCGGAAAAUCCGAAAACUUUCAACCACCAAUAAAAUAAUUGCAGCCGCUGCCGCCGCCGCUACCGCCACUACCAGCUCCUUUCCCCUGUCCACUGUUAAAUCAUUAUCGGUCAAAGGCGAGAUUGACCUGGCUCUUGAACAUUUACGCAAGUCAGAUCCCCUUCUCUCAACUCUAAUUGACACCAAUAAGGCACCUACAUUCGAUUCUCAAAGCCCACCAUUUUUAUCUCUAGCAAGAAGCAUUCUUUAUCAACAACUCGCCCCUAAUGCUGCCAAAUCAAUCUACACUAGAUUCCUCACCCUCUGUGGUGGCGAAGCUGGGGUCCUGCCAGAGAAUGUUCUAUCGCUAUCUGCCCUUCAGCUCCGAGAAAUUGGAAUUUCGGGUCGAAAAGCGAGCUACCUGCAUGACUUAGCAGACAAGUUCAGAAACGGGUCUUUAUCAGAUUCGUCGAUUCUUGAAAUGAAUGAUGAUACGCUUGUAACUAGCCUGACUGCGGUUAAGGGAAUUGGGGUUUGGUCUGUGCACAUGUUUAUGAUAUUUUCGCUGCAUAGGCCUGAUGUUUUGCCGGUGGGUGAUCUUGGUGUGAGGAAAGGAGUACAGAAUUUGUAUGGGCUUAAGGAGUUGCCGCAGCCAUUGCAAAUGGAGCAAGUUUGUGAGAAGUGGAGGCCUUAUAGGUCUGUUGGGUCGUGGUAUAUGUGGAGGUUAAUGGAAACCAAGGCAUUGGCUAAAGUGACUAAAAAGUCGUAGUGCCUUCAAAACGCUGAAGCUGUAAAAAUCAGGUACUCUUGUGAGCUUUAAAGGCCUGAUUCUUGUACUGAUUAGUGAUGAUCAUCUUUAUAAUUUCUAAAAUUUGACAUUUCCAGCUUCACUCUUUCUCCUUGUACGCAUGUGGAUUCACUUCACUGUUCUAUGUCUGUUUAAAUGUAAAUAGAAGGAUUUACUAUUCCA